CAGUCGCCACGGUAAUACGUAGGUGGCAAGCGUUGUCCGGAAUUAUUGGGCGUAAAGGGCUCGCAGGCGGUUUCUUAAGUCUGAUGUGAAAGCCCCCGGCUCAACCGGGGAGGGUCAUUGGAAACUGGGAAACUUGAGUGCAGAAGAGGAGAGUGGAAUUCCACGUAUAGCGGUGAAAUGCGUAGAGAUGUGGGGGAACACCAGUGGCGAAGGCGACUCUCUGGUCCGUAACUGACGCUGAGGAGCGAAAGCGUGGGGAGCGAACAGGAUUAGAUACCCCCGUAGUCCCUGUCUCUUAUAC
rnacentral:rRNA from 1 species